UAAACCCUGAGAGUGGCAUCUAAAUGUUUA
rnacentral:piRNA from 1 species